rnacentral:rRNA from 1 species
GAUGAACGCUAGCGGCAGGCUUAAUACAUGCAAGUCGAGGGGCAUCAAGGUACACGAAAGUGUAUUGUUGGCGACCGGCGGACGGGUGAGUAAUAGGUAGGUAACCUACCUCAUACUGAGGCAUAGCUGGGAGAAAUUCCAGGUAAUUCCUCAUGAGGUUAUAUGACACAUGUGAUAUAAUCAAAGGUAUCGCAAGGUACUGGUAUGAGAUGGGCUUACUGACCAUUAGCUAGUUGGUGAGAUAAGAGCUCACCAAGGCGAAGAUGGUUAGGGGUUUGAGAGAGAGAUCCCCCACAUUGGAACUGAGAUACGGUCCAGACUCCUACGGGAGGCAGCAGUAGGGAAUAUUGGGCAAUGGGCGGAAGCCUGACCCAGCCAUGCCGCGUGAAGGAAGACGGCCUUAUGGGUUGUAAACUUCUUUACUAUGCGACUAACUAGAUUUACGAGAUAAUUCUAUAGAAUGUAGCAUAGCAAAAAGCAACC